UAGGGAAUCUUGCACAAUGGGCGAAAGCCUGAUGCAGCAACGCCGCGUGCGCGAUGAAGGCCUUCGGGUCGUAAAGCGCUUUUCUGGGAGAAGAGGAAGGACGGUAUCCCAGGAAUAAGGCUCGGCUAACUACGUGCCAGCAGCCGCGGUAAAACGUAGGAGCCAAGCGUUAUCCGAAUUUACUGGGCGUAAAGCGCGUGCAGGCGGCUCGAUAAGUUGGCUGUGAAAUCUCCUGGCUCAACUGGGAGAGGCCGGUCAAGACUGUCGGGCUGGAGGGCGGUAGAGGGAGGUGGAAUUCCCGGUGUAGUGGUGAAAUGCGUAGAGAUCGGGAGGAACACCAGUGGCGAAAGCGGCCUCCUAGGCUGUACCUGACGCUCAGACGCGAAAGCUAGGGGAGCGAACGGGAUUAGAAACCCCGGUAGUCCUAGCUGUAAACGAUGUCGACUUGGCGUCGGUGGGGUAAAAGCCAUCGGUGCCGCAGCAAACGCGAUAAGUCGACCGCCUGGGG
rnacentral:rRNA from 1 species